CUACGGGAGGCUGCAGUGGGGAAUAUUGCACAAUGGAGGAAACUCUGAUGCAGCAACGCCGCGUGGAGGAUGACACUUUUCGGAGCGUAAACUCCUUUUAUAUAGGAAGAAGAUGACGGUACUAUAUGAAUAAGCGCCGGCUAACUCCGUGCCAGCAGCCGCGGUAAUACGGGGGGCGCAAGCGUUACUCGGAAUCACUGGGCGUAAAGAGCGUGUAGGCGGAUUAAAAAGUCAGAAGUGAAAUCCUAUAGCUUAACUAUAGAACUGCUUCUGAAACUCUUAAUCUAGAAUAUGGGAGAGGUAGAUGGAAUUUCUGGUGUAGGGGUAAAAUCCGUAGAGAUCAGAAGGAAUACCGAUUGCGAAGGCGAUCUACUAGAACAUUAUUGACGCUGAGACGCGAAAGCGUGGGGAGCAAACAGGAUGAGAUACCCCAGUAGUC
rnacentral:rRNA from 1 species